UAUUGGGCAAUGGAGGAAACUCUGACCCAGCAACGCCGCGUGUAUGAAGAAGGCCUUCGGGUUGUAAAGUACUUUCAGCGGGGAGGAAGGGAGUAAAGUUAAUACCUUUGCUCAUUGACGUUACCCGCAGAAGAAGCAACGGCUAACUCCGUGCCGGCAGCCGCGGUAAUACGGAGGGUGCAAGCGUUAAUCGGAAUUACUGGGCGUAAAGCGCACGCAGGCGGUUUGUUAAGUCAGCUGUGAAAUCCCCGGGCUCAACCUGGGAACUGCAUCUGAUACUGGCAAGCUUGAGUCUCGUAGAGGGGGGUAGAAUUCCAGGUGUAGCGGUGAAAUGCGUAGAGAUCUGGAGGAAUACCGGUGGCGAAGGCGGCCCCCUGGACGAAGACUGACGCUCAGGUGCGAAAGCGUGGGGAGCAAA
rnacentral:rRNA from 1 species